rnacentral:rRNA from 1 species
GAUGAACGCUAGCUACAGGCUUAACACAUGCAAGUCGAGGGGUAACGAGAGGAAAGCUUGCUUUCCUUGUCGACGACCGGCGCACGGGUGAGUAACGCGUAUCCAACCUGCCCCCAGCUAGGGAAUAACCUUGCGAAAGUAAGACUAAUACCCUAUAAUUUCCUCAGAUGACAUCUGACGAGGAAUAAAGAUUUAUCGGUUGUGGAUGGGGAUGCGUCUGAUUAGCUUGUUGGCGGGGUAACGGCCCACCAAGGCAACGAUCAGUAGGGGUUCUGAGAGGAAGGUCCCCCACAUUGGAACUGAGACAAGGUCCAAACUCAUACGGGAGGCAGCAGUGAGGAAUAUUGGUCAAUGGGCGGAAGCCUGAACCAGCCAAGUAGCGUGCAGGAUGACGGCCCUAUGGGUUGUAAACUGCUUUUAUACAGGAAUAAAGUUAGCCACGUGUGGUUAUUUGUAGGUACUGUAUGAAUAAGGACCGGCUAAUUCCGUGCCAGCCGCCGCCGUAA